UUUCCCCAUCCUAUUAAAUUUUCCGAUGGGGAAGAGAAACAAUCUUUGCUUGAGUAUCAAGGAGUUCCAGUUUAUCAAUCUAUGGAAAAUACCCAAGGAAGUAACCAGUUUAUUCUCCUGGUUACUUCGAUUCACCUGGAAAAUACCCAAGGAAAUAUGUCGUUUGAGAUGGUUGGUGUCUGGUUUGAACACGUUCUACUGACGGAUCUAAGAAGUACGAUUUCGUCGUGCAAAUGACGGCAACGUUGUGACAUUGAAGACGAAGAUUGUGAAGAUUACGAGAACUCUAAUUGAUGAACAGCCGGCUACCGGUGAACGGAGAGUUCGCCGGAAAUUAGGGUUUGUUCUUGAGCAUAGACGAUGGAGUUUUGGGCUGAGCAAUUUGAUUUUUUAUUAAUAUAUUUCAAUGUAUUUUCAAUAUAUUUUCAAUGUAUUUUCAUGUAUUUCAUUAUAUUCGUUGUCUUUUUUUUUCCCAUUGUAAUUCAAUGUAUUUCAUUGUAUUCCAUGUCUUUUAUUGUAUUCACUGUUAUUUUCUUAUUGUAUUUCAAUGUAUCCCGCUAUAUUCUAUGUAUUUCAUUGUAUUCACUGUCUCGCUAAAUGCCAUAAAUGUAUUCAUAAGUUUUAUUUAAUUAAUAUAAUUUAUAUAUUAAGAUGU
rnacentral:lncRNA from 1 species